rnacentral:rRNA from 1 species
GUGGGGAAGAGCCACGCGCUGAGCGGUCUCUUUCAUCGCGGACAGCGGGAAAACACCAACAGUGCGGAGAACCACAGGCUAGAGGGGAGGAGAGCGAAUGCUAGGAUGCCUGGCGGGUGGAGCACGGCCACGUUCGCGAUGAUCUCGAGCCGCUCUGGUUUAGCCACUCCCAGCCCAAAACGCGUGCGGUCUAAAGGAUCACGUCAAGCAUAUUCGGCAUCGAGUCCUCGACCUUCGAAGGGGGAGGGUGAGGGCGGCGAGGCCGAUUAAGAAGGGGACGGUGAGGGCGAGCCCGCGGCGCGGCUGCCCGCUACACUGAUCGAAGCAGAGUUCUUUUCCCCUUGCCGAACUGGACCGUUAGACCGGGGAAAAUUCUCAGUUCUCCGUAUCCGUGAUUGUAACUUUUUCCUGUGUGCCAUAAAUUCGCGGUAAUCGUUCCACACCCGCUCAAGUUGAUUACGUCCAUGACCUUUGUGCACGCUGCCCGUCGCUGCCGAGGAUUCAAACCUAUUUAAGUAA